GGUUCACUUUUUCCUUUUUUUUUUUAUCGUGAUGUGCGUGUUAUCUCUUGGUUUUUUCAUCGGGAAAAGUAGUGAAUCGGAAUGUUUGAACUUGUUUCUUUGAGACUGUUUCUCGUUUAUAUACGUAACGGGGAUACGAAAAUACGUGGAAUGAAAAUGAAAUUUAGGUUAGGUAUGGGUAUGGUAUAUACUCUCAGUUGAAUUCGUGAAAGGUUAUUUAUUGACGUAAAUCUUUUGAUAUCUUGUUCUCUUUUUGAAAAGUACCAACUUUCAUUUGAAUUUGUUUCUCUAUACACGUAUGUAUUCUCCACGAGAUAAAUUAGAUCAAGAUUAAAGGUUAUAAUCGUAAAAUUGAUAUCAAUGGCGAGGAAAUUGAGUAAGUGUUAAAAAGGUAGUUGUAAUAAUUCGUUAUAUUAAAUAAAUUUUGAUUUUAUCCUGAAUCUUUGGAUAAAUAUAAUAAAUCAAGAUAAUAGCAUCAGAUUAUUGAAUCCAAAAUGCAAUAUUUUUAAAUUGAUUGAACAAUAGAUCUAAUAAUAGUUGAGAAAAAAAUACUUGUACAAUAACCUAAAUGACAUAACCUAAAUCUUUUAUAAAUGACAGAAUAUUACGGGAAAAAAUGUUUCACUCAAACAAAAAUUCUCGAUCAACGAACAGUUAAACAGUCUGUAGAACAAAAAUAUCAUUGCACAACAGAAGAUCGACUACAGUUAACAUGAAAAUAACACGAUUGUUAUUAAUUUAACGUUGGAGAUGUACAACUUCAACAGUACUUGUUAUAUACGAAGGAAAUAAAGAUCAAAGAACCGAUAAAUAAUAAGAAGACACGAAAUUAAAGGAAACGUCAGAACAAUCGAGACUUUUCAUGGUUCAUGGCUCGAUAAAUUAGACGACGCUGUUUUAAAAACACUUGGUAAAUUACGAAUAGACAGUCUUCAGGAUGGGGAAAGAAAUGAUCGAGGAAGAACAAUUCGUUUUAACUACAGCCCUUCGCAAGAAGUGCCUUCAUCACCAAGUAGAUUAACUCGACUCGGCUUCACCGGAAUUUUUCCACGUCACUGUACCGUUGUCUCUUUAGUCAAUUAAAGUAUCCUUUAUCUUAACAUUCUUAAUUAUAUCACCAUCAUCAUUUAACGUGUUAAAAAUACGUUAGAUCAAAAACGAAAUGUAGAUGAUUAAAGUUUAAGUUAAAUCCUAGUUGAAUUCAAGAUUAGAAGUUGCUGUAUAAUUAAUCUUAUGGUAUAAUAUUCUUAAUAUAUCAUAAUGAUCAAUCUCGAUGAUUAGAUUUUAUUAAAAGUACGUUGCAAAGCAAAAUGAAAUAUAGGACUAGAUUAAAUUCAAGAUCAUAGAUUAUAACGUUAACAUUUUUUGAUUCAAUUAUUUUUGUAUCAAAAUUAUAGUAUUCUAUUAUAAUAAAUUCGAAUCUAACGAAUUUUUAACCAAACUAAUUUUAGCUUGACAAACGCAGAGCUUUUAUUCGACUCGUACCGUGUAGAUUUUUAUCUACCUCUUAGAAUUAAAUUUAAGUAGAAGAGUCUUAAAUUUUACUUGGAUCUGAUCCGACAGCCCUCAUACAUCGGUCCAACCGUCGAAAAAAAAUUCUAAAACCCCCCUCCCUCCAUCAGAUAAUACCUCUGGAUCUUUGAAACCACUUAAAAACUCUGUCUAUAUUCAAACAGUAAUCUUGAAGUACAGCAUCUUUAACCUUCCUAACAAGCGUUAAUCCCGAACCCUCCCCCAGAACCCUCGCCGAGUCUCGAGUCCCUUAGACGUCGAGACAGAAGCGGUAAUUGAACGUUAUUAUAUCCCUCGUGCGGCGGCCGUGGUCCAGGCUUCUUCUUGGGUUCCGUAAAACGACUGGAAAAACGCGGGGCCGGGAGAAAAUGAACGCGGUUUGAGGACAUUCCCUCUUGCUUUUGCAUCCCUGGUAAACGGUCUUGGCCUUGUUUCUCUCUCUCUCUCUCUCUCUCUCUCUCUCUCUCUCUCUCUCUCGUGUUCCCUCCCUCCCUCGUGUCUGCUGCGCGAAGGCGGCGCCGCGGACAAAGAUGGAAAAAACGGAGAAGAAACAAAAGCGUAGGGAAAAAAAAAGAAAGGGGGGAGGGGAAGGAGAAGCGUGGGAAGGGUGGUGAAGAAUGGUGGCGAAGAGUGUGUGUUUCGGGGACGAGGAAGGCUCGGGGGGGUGGGUGGCCCUUUAAUAUUUGCUCGCUGCAUCUCGCGAGUACUUUCCGGGGAGAGAGAAGAUCGAUGCGAGUGUGACCUCCUUCUCUCGCGGCCUGUUAAAUUAAAUUAUUAUGAUCGUUAUCGUUAAGCAGCCGAGAGGAGAGAAGAUAUCGCGGCGGUCGGAUCGCGCGUGCCGACACCUGUAAGUGCACACAGGAACGUCGGUGUGGAUCCACGAGAGAAAGAGAGACAGAGAGAGAGAGAGAGAGAGAUAGAGCCGGAGGAACGGACGCGGCAAAUUCUAUACCGCUCGAAAUAAUUAGAGGUUCUCGUGUUACCUUGUUGUGUGCUAAUGGAUCCUCCGCCAGAUGGAGGAUUUUUAGCGUGCAAUUUCCCGCGGAGUUGGCGGAUCGGACGGUUCGGAGGAGAGGGAUAUAUUGUUUUAAUUUUAGUGUUAAACCAUUGUUGCUUAAUUUAUUUUUUUUAUUUGUUGUAAUUUGCAACACGA